AGGCCAGGCUGAGGGACUCCACCA
rnacentral:miRNA from 1 species